AAUAAACACAGUUGACAGUGAGGAUGUUUUCUUUUUUUUGCUGAGUUCACAAUUCAGAGUAUUUUUAAGUCUACCAAUUGGUGCUGAAAAGGAGAUGAAUAUGCUUAUAUUUACUUGGGCCAGGAUGGGCCAGGAUGAUACCAGUAUCGCAGUGUUUUUUUUCCAUGACAAAAAUUAAAACAGGAAGCAGACCAAACUCUUUGGCCCUUUAAAAACCUGCUGGAUGUAAAAUCAUGUGUGCUAUAGCUUGGAAAAUAAAUAAAUGUGAUUCUGGAUGACAACAUAAUGAUGUUUGUUCCAAAAUUAGGUCUAUUUUCCUAAAGAAGUGAAAUCCACUUAAUGUUUUGUUUCCUUGCCAUGAUAUGAACAAGUAUCACGAUACUGGUAUUGUCCCGGCCCUAUUAUUUACAUGGCUUUCUUAAAUUGAUCCCUAAUAUUCUGAACCAUGCUCUCCAUAUACUCUGAGUCUGAGAAUUUUAAUUAACAGUAUGCCAAUUUAAAGGGAUGGCUUUAGAUAAAUGUAGUGGAAACUCAAUUGAAUGAAAACUCCAUGAGAAAAUCUGUUGACUAGCAAGUGGGAGGGUUUUCAGCAGUUGAAUAAAAUGUAUUCAGCCCAGGGAGCCACGCCUGCAAAGCCUGUUAAACACCUGCAUAAGGUAAGUCUGAAUAACAACUGAGAAGUUUGUAGAAAAGGCAUGCGUAGGAAAGAUGUACAUUUCCUAAGUCUGAAUUGGGCCACAUAUAGAUAAAUGUACUGAAAACCAUAUUGAAUGAAAACCAGCUAUUGCUGAUUUAAACAUAGGGUACAUGUUUGCCAAUAUAGCUGCCAAACAGUUGCAAUGUUUUUGAUUGGAUUAGUCUGACACUGACAGUACUCUUUCAGAACAGUUUUUUUUCUAAAUGCUUAAACUCUACAUCAGUUUGUAAUUUUAUAACACACUUUUUGCAAAACUGUAAACACAACUCACUGCUUUACACUCAGUUUGCAAUUUAAUAACACACUUCUAGCAAAACUGUAAACAUUGGUCUCUACAUUGCUACACUUUCACCAAUUGCCUUUCCACAUUGACACGUGAAAACUCUUUUAGAUAAUGAGUUCACUUACAAAUCAGAACUUGAGCACUAUAAAUAGGCCACAGUAAACAUUUGGUUUGGACAAUAUUGGACAGAGCGUAAGAUGUAUGAGAAGGUGAAGAAGUAGGAGGAGGAGGAGAAAUAGGUGAAGUAGGAUGGGGAAGAGGAAGGGGAGUCAGGAAAACAAUAACUGAUGAAAUCAGAGUGACUGUGGUUGACCAUGUUGUCAACCAUAGGAUGAGCAUGAGGGAGGCUGGCCAACAGGUUCAACCAAAUCUACUGUUGCAGGUAUCAUCCGGAUAUUUCGAAAUGAGAACCGGUAAGUAACUAAGUGCUGUGGUCUUACUGGUACAGUAAUAUGUACUGAACUUUCAUGAGAAGGAUCUAUCACUAAAACCAUUCAAAUGUUUUUACAGAACUGCAAGAAAACCAGUAUCUGUUGGAAGAGGUUGACUGUUCACCCCAGAGCAGGAGACCCAUAUUGUAAAUAUAGUCAUUGCAGACUCAGAACUGCAGGACCACAUAAUGGCAGAUAACACCAUAUUCCAAAACGUCAACAGAGUGAGUCUCUCUGUCUCGUCUACUGAAACACAAUAGAAUUAGGAUGAAGCAGAUGUACAGAGUCCCUUUCGAAAAAAACUCAGACUGUGUAAAACAACUGCGAUAUGAAUAUGUGCAGAGAGUCAUGGAGCUAGAAGCAGAUGCCGUGCAUCAUGAGCUAAUAUUUGUGGACGAGGCAGGUUUCAACCUAGCAAAAACAAGGAGCCGCGGCAGGAAUAUCAUCGGACACCGUGCCAUUAUCAACGUCCCGUGACAAUGUGGUGGCAACAUAACAAAGGCUAUUAGUCAAAAUGGCGUCCUUCACCAUCAUGCAAUCCUAGCCCCAUACAACACUGCACAGAUUAUCACAUUUCUGGACACCCUCCACAACAGACUAAUCCUUAAUGACCAGGGGCCACAGCAGCCAGGUACGUUAUCAUCUGGGACAAUGUUAGUUUCCACCGUGCUGCUGUGGUCCGCAAUUGGUUCACCGUCACCCACUUUUCAUUGCACUCAAUCUCCCACCAUACUCUCCGUUCUUAAAUCCUAUUGAAGAAUUCUUCUCUGCAUGGCGUUGGAAGGUGUAUCAUCGCUAUCCCCAACAGCGCAUACCCCUUCUACAGGUAAUGGAGGAGGCUUGUGGAGACAUCGAUGAGGGGUCAUGCCAGGCCUGGAUAAGGCACUCCAGGCAAUACUUUCCACGCUGCCUAGGUCAAGACAACAUUGCAUGUGAUCUUAUGGCCAGACCCACAUAGAAGUUGAGAUAUAGCCCCCAAAAAAUGAAAAACUUUUUCUAGCACAAAUUUUUUUGUUUUCUUCUGUUGCACUUUUGUUGUUUUGAGGAGUGUUAAGACAUUUUGAGGAAAAAAAAAUACUUUUCCCCCUUAUUUGUAUUGAUAGUGUGUUAUGUACGGAAUGCACAUCAAUACUUUACAUAUUUGGAUACCUGUGUGUAUGUGUGUUUACUACAUGUAUGACAAAACGUUAUUGCAAACUGCUAUGCCCUGCACACAGAAAAAGAAAAUGUCACAAGUGUUUUUCAUUUAUACAAUCAGUGGGUAAUUGGUGCUUAGUGUGCUUAUUCAAUUGAUGGUUUGUGUGUACUGUAUUGACGCAAAAACAUUUUUUUUUUAAGAGUUUGAAGAGUUUUGUAAGAAUUGUUUGCUUUUGCAAGAGAUGUACAAUGUUUUGCUGGUUUGGUGUAAGGUUUUGUGGUUAGUGUGUAGAGUUUUGCAAAAAUAGCAUAUAGUUUCAAAGAUAGUGCCUAUGCAAUCAGAACAAAACUGUAAUAGGUGGAAUAUGUCUAAUGAUAAUACAAAAAAACCAUUUAUUAAAAUUAUGCAGAUAACAAAAACAAUUUAGCCCGGUUUUCAAAAUAUAUAAUCUUUGUAAAAUAUUAGUCACAUUUUUCUAAAAUGUGCCAAACAAUUUAUAAUAUACCUAAAGGGAUCGUUUGCUGGUUUAUAGUGAUUAUAAUGCUAAUAUUAUGCCAUAUUGUUAAAAAUAAAAUCCGUCUUAAAUCCUGUCUUA